CUCCUUCUUUCUGCACGGGGGACAAAACAAUCCACAUUCAUAUCAGAAGAGAUGUUAAAAGAAGAGCUGCAUAUCAGUAUUGAUGAUAUUUGUCUAUCUGCAUUCCCCUGCACGAUCCUACCACUGCGACUGUUUUGAUCCAGAAUUUUACGCUGUGAUGCGCCAUUAAGCCAAGAUUCUGUCUAAACAAAAGAAAAUGAGGUUCAUUUGCAGGAAGAAAAGCAUCUGACUGACUGACAGGACUGAGGAGCUGCGGCUGAGGAGGGUCAGGAGGGAGAGGGAAGAGAGGCUGAAGGGGUGAGAUGGAAGACCUUGAAGGACAUCAGGGAGCGCCUAAUAGAGGCUGUGAGGGCUGUAGAGAGGAAGAUGGUCACUCUCAAGAACAGACUGGCUUGCUGGCAGCUCCUUCACCGGGCUGGCUGCCUGAAGAACUGACGGCUGGAGGAUGAGGUGGAGAGGCUUGACAGGCAGCUGGCCAUUACGCUGAGUGUGUUGUAGAAGCUCUUCUACAGCCAGAAACAAAAUAACCAUCCAAACCACAGUGCUGCUGCUGGCGACUAGACCAUAUAAGGAAUUUAGCUCCCGGCAUU